AUACGGCCAUAUCACAUUGAAACACAGGUUCCCGUGUGAUCACUGAAGUUAAGCAAUGUAAAGCUUGGUACCUAGAUGGGUGACUGCUUGGGAAUACCAGGUGCUGUAA